CGGGGCCGGUAAAUUCCACGGAAAUUUGGGGAGAACGCCCCACGGGCCACGGCGGCACGGCCCGCGGGAGGAAAAGUCCACGCGAUGCACCGCCGUGUUCAUACACUGGCACUGCAGAGGCUGGCUGGGGCUGGUUGCCUUUUCGGUGACAGAGAGCGAGACGGGCAGACGCUGCAUCACAGAGAGGACAGAACAUACCGUCAGAGAAGCAGCGCGUUCCUGCAGCUGCGGAGUACGAUCGUACUCCAGCUUCGCUGCAAGUCCAGUCCAAGCAAUGACGUGAAGCAUCAUCGACC
rnacentral:lncRNA from 1 species